AUCGCUUCUCGGCCUUAUGGCUAAGAUCAAAGUGCAGUAUCUUUUCUUAUCAGCUUAACAUCUGAUAGAUCCUCCAUCGGAGGACAACAAAUGUUAAACUGAUUUUUGGAAAUGGGCGGAGUGUUUUAGGGGCUUGCUCCACUUCUGCCACGGGUUGGCCCGGUAUUGCAGUACGGCCGGGAUUUCGGCCCAAAUUAU